GAUGAACGCUGGCGGCGUGCCUAAUACAUGCAAGUCGAGCGAACAGACGAGGAGCUUGCUCCUCUGACGUUAGCGGCGGACGGGUGAGUAACACGUGGAUAACCUACCUAUAAGACUGGGAUAACUUCGGGAAACCGGAGCUAAUACCGGAUAAUAUAUUGAACCGCAUGGUUCAAUAGUGAAAGACGGUUUUGCUGUCACUUAUAGAUGGAUCCGCGCCGCAUUAGCUAGUUGGUAAGGUAACGGCUUACCAAGGCAACGAUGCGUAGCCGACCUGAGAGGGUGAUCGGCCACACUGGAACUGAGACACGGUCCAGACUCCUACGGGGGGCAGCAGUAGGGAAUCUUCCGCAAAGGGCGAAAGCCUGACGGAGCAACGCCGCGUGAGUGAUGAAGGUCUUCGGAUCGUAAAACUCUGUUAUUAGGGAAGAACAAAUGUGUAAGUAACUAUGCACGUCGUGACGGUACCUAAUCAGAAAGCCACGGCUAACUACGUG
rnacentral:rRNA from 1 species